AUUCAUCUCAUCACUUCUUGAGAGGAAGAAAAGGAAGAAAAAUGGAUCGAGGCAGAUAAUAAAAAGAAACACACCCAAUCCUCUUUGAUUCAUCAAACCUGGACUCACGAUGCUCGAAAUGAGUAGAAGCAGUUCGAAAUGGGGGAGCCAAGUUCUAAACUGUACUCCUGAAGUCGCCAAAUAUUCCGUGACUAUUCUUGCACUCGCCAGGCUUUGCCCAGCACUCGACUUUGGGCACUUUGCGGGCCGGAGAACUGAGCGCGAAUUCCGCCAUCUCUUCGCGUAAACUCUUCCUCCCACUCCUCGCUCCCGUGGAACCGAAUUCAACUCAAGUUGAAACUAUGUCGAGUCCCCUCACUUUUCCGCGUACCACGGCGUUAAACUGGUAUUAUAUCCCCGUGUCUUCGUUUGCGGGCAACCGUUUCAACCGGUUCAAGUCCUCGUCGCUUUAAUUCAUCCGCGUGCAUAACUCCGGUCCGGGAUUUUUCUUCUCUCGAGGAGCGAGACUCGAGACGAGUGGAUGGUUUUGGCAAUGCGCGGUCUGGCACGAGCGAGAAGUGUUGCUCAUGUUAUCUUAAACGCGGUAUAUUUAUCCGAGUUGUUAAUGUUGAAAUGAAGAAGUGGAGAGAGAGAGAAAGAGAGAAAGAGAGGGGAGAAGAGUUCGUUACUCGGUUACUUGGUUGCAAGUCUUUUGCUGGUUUCUUUUGAGAAACGACGUUCCUAUAAAUCUAGUUGGAGGGAAAGGAGACGUCCACGGGACGCAACGAGCGCAGACACGACAGACGCGAGCUCCUCGCGUGCUUCCGGUUGUAUGCACGCGCGCGCAUUGUUGCGCUGACGUGCCAGAGAUGAGAAAAACGAGAGGAGAGGGGGGGGGAAAAGCUGGCGUUUACGCGAAAGAGACGUGCGCCACAAACGGGACAGCAUAAUUCCACGCGAUGGUUGUCAAGUGUGGACAGAACGCACGUUCUCGAGGAUUGCAUCGACACUUGGAUAUAUAUCGUGCGAUCAACAUAGGAAUCGCGUUUCGAUAGUACAAGUCGUGGCGCAUGUUGGAACGUCGUUCUCGACAUCGAUACACGGACGAGAUAUCGUGCAAACAAAAGUCUCAUCGGGUUUUAUGCGGCUUAUAGCAAGGGAGGAAAAACUCUGAGAGUAUCCGAUUUCAUGUAUUCUAUGCGCAUCCAUUCACCAAGAUAAACAGAAUAUUUCUGAAGCAGCUCGGCCCGCCGGAUACUGUAAAAUAUCUAAGAAAAUGCGAUCGAAUCCGUGACGAGAAUAACUUUUUGGAUUAUUUUUAAAAGAGGAAAUUUCAUUUCUCUUCGGACAGAAAGUUAUUAUGAUCCGAAAGGAUAUGAGAGUGAAUGAAAAAUAAAUGAGAAGAAUACAUGAAAGUAAAUUCAACAACAAAGGGAAGAAUAUUAAUUUAAAAUGUUGCAAUUUUUUUAUCAACCAACGUGAAUUAAUUAAACGCGUGUGAAAGAAAAAUAAUAUAUAUCCCUUUCAAUUUAUUUAUCCUAUAAUUCCAAUCUUCCAUCGUAUCAUAUUCCCAUGUUAAAAAUAAUAUUUAAUACGUCAAACUUUCAUUUCAUCCAAAACGAUUUAAACUCUCGAUCAAAUUUAAUUAAACGCGUAAUAAACAUUUUCUAAUUGAGAAUUAUGAUCCAAUUAAUAAUCCAACGGAUUAAUAAUUGUCGCUAAUUAACCCAAACCCUUUCCUUGUUAUUAAAUCUCGUUCGUUAUCUAGAUUAUAUGUAAACAACAACAAAAGAAAGAAAUUAUAAAUCAAAAUUUCGAUUCGUGAAUCAUCUUUGCCACGAUUAUUCCUUACGAGGCUUCCUCCCCCCCUUUUUUUUUCCUUUUUUUCAUUUGCCCCAUUGCAAUGAUUCACUGUCGGUUCGAUGCAAGAGAAUAUUUUUCUUUUUUUUUUUUUCCUUUCUCUUCCUUUUUUCAAUCCCGGAAGGAUAAUAGCACGGAGAGGCGGAGGAAGCAAAAAUGGUGGAAACUGAACGAGCAAUAUUCGUCUCACUAGAAGUUACACCUCGCUGGCUACAUUGUGCCAUUCCACAGGCUCCACUUUUCACAGUAGUCUGCCCUACCAUAUGCCAGACAGACUCUCACAGCUAUUUAUGGAAUGAAACAAAAUGGACGAGGUUCGUGAAAAUUUAUAUCGUAUAUAUAUAAAAUAAUUGUUCGUUUAAAGAAUUUCACAUCGUGCGAUCCAUUGAUUUUGAUAUUUUAAUAAUUGAUCCGUUUUAUUAUUGAAUAAUUGAUCCAUUGAGUUUCAAUUCGAGAAUAGAAUAUUUAGAAAGAUAUAUUCAUAAUUAGAUAAACGAUUUAAAUUCAUCAUUUAAAUCGGUUCGCAAUAAGAGAAGGAUAAUUGUUCCGUUUUAUCGUUAUUUUGGAAUAAUUUGUUUAUCAUAAAUAAAUUAAUUAAUGCGAGUAUUUUACAGAGAAUCUUAAUUAGUAGUAUAAUAUUCGUAUUAUUAAUAAUUAUUAUUGUAACAAUUAAUACUUAAUAACAGAGAAUUAUCAUCGUUUUAUUGAAAUUUCGUGAAAGAUUUUCACUUUUUCAGAAUCGUUUGUCAAAAUACAUUCAUACAUUCAUUAUCCCCUCCCCCAUAUAUUUCCAUAAACUCGUUAUUAAUAAAUUACACACUUCAAACAGAUGGAAAAGAUAAAAGACAAACAAAAGGCAAAUAAACGAAACAUCCCUUUCAAAAACAAAUCGUUUCAUCCCCCGUGUAUCGAAAUCCGGGGGAAUAAACUUCACAACGAAAAAAAUAUGCGAAAGGGAAUUCGUUUCGUAACAAUUUCAAUAAAAAUGCAAUAAAAUUUUCACAAAUUGCGUCGCGUUGCCGAACUGGCCGAUCGUCAAAUAAAUCCCAUAAAUGUUUUAUUCGCUUUCGAUCCCUAGCUUCAUUCCACGGGAACAAAGAACGGUUUUUCACGGUUAACUGUAAUAAAAGAAUCAUUUCUGAAAUGUUUUUUCUCUUCUCUGCGAAAAUCGAAAAUCUCUGCGAAAAUCGAAUCGAAAAACAAAUUCCCCUCGGAGCAAUUCAUUCAUACAGUAAUUAUCCGCGAUACGAUUCAAUUUUCCCCUUAUUUAAUUAAGAGCGAGCGUUAAUAAUAGAAAUCGAAGUUCCGCGAUACUUUCGAUUCAUCGAAGUCGAUUUAACUUUCCUUUCGACGAGAUUGAUUAACGAGUAAUUCACUUUGAUCGAUUUUUUCUCUCUCUCUCUCUCUCUUUGUCUCGAAGAAUUUUAUCAGGGGAAUAUUGACAUCAAAUAAUUAAACUGUUAACACAAAUGUAUGUAAAUUUUACGUACUUUGUUAAAGAGAUAAUUACGAGGUAAAUGGAAAAUAUGAUUGAUCUUCGAUUAAUGAAGUCAAUGUGUUUCUUCUUUUAUUAUUCGUAAAUAAAUAAAUAUUACUAAAUAGUAGUAAUAAAAAAUAUUUCUUUCAUUAAUACAAUUGUAUGACAAACCUCUAUUUCAUUUCAUAAUAAAAAUACUCUUAUAGUGGCAAACUUAUGGUCUUUUUUUGGUCUCUUUAUAAUUAUAAUUUUAACGUUAAUCUCGAAAAAAAAAUCUAAGAAAACUUUCCUAAGCAAUGUUGAACUUGACCAAAAAGGGACGUCAACGACUGGUUCGUCAUCGCGUCCAAUUUAAAAAAAUUUCACGGGGACGAAAUUUUGGGGAGAAAAACGUUGGUCGAAUUCGAACUUUCCUCGGCGAGGAUCAUCGACAACGACAACCGUCGGAUACCACGAACGGAAAUGGAAAAGUUGCAGGAACUGCGGCUCUCUCCCCGGUUCGUAUGCCGUAUUCUGGUAUCUCGUGUUUAUUCGAAAAGUUUUCGAACUUCAUGCAAAUGCAACGACGCGGAGGAACGGCCACGCGGAGGACGAGAGAGAGAGGAUGCUCUUCGUUACGAGAAAUUCGAGUAUCCCUCUUACUUUUCCUCCCCUCUUUCCAUCAUAGUCGAGGGUACAGUCUCUAUUGUUUCGCGAAGGAAACAGGGGCUUGGAACUUCUUUGGCAUACUUUUCCUAGGAUUAAUUAAUUGCCUCUUUCCCUCCUCCGUUUUAUUCGUUUUUAGUCUUUAAGGAUUCUCUUGAGUUUCUUUCUUGAAUGUGGAACAUGAAUCGGAUCGAAUCGAAUUUCAGAGUUGAUUUAUUUCGAGGGCUUUGGUUUCGAGAGUUUUGGCCAUUUUUUUCGUUUACCUAUUUUAAAAUUAUAAUUGUGUUCGAAAAGAUGGAUUUUUAAAGUGAGGUCUUUGAUUCGUUCGAUUUUAAACUUAGAAAAAAGAAUUAUUUCUCAUAGAUUAUUUCUCAUAUUUCGAGAGUUUUGGUUUUGAGAGUUUUGGCCAUUUUUUUCGUUUACCUAUUUUAAAAUCGUUAUAAUUGUGUUCGAAAAGAUGGAUUUUUAAAGUAAGAUCUUUGAUUCGUUCGAUUUUAAAUUUA
rnacentral:lncRNA from 11 species